UUAUUCACUGUAUCAAGUAGUUCUUUUAUUGCACUAGCUAUGUCCCUGUUGGAAAAGGAAAAAAAACAAUCACUGAAAUCAAGUAUUCUUGAAAGUGGGUGUAAGUACAUAUUUGUAUGUGUAAUUACAUUGUUUUUUAAAAAAAAUACUAUUG